GGCACCAACACGUUCGGCGUAUUUACCGGCUUUAAGGAAUCUAGCGAUUCUUCCAACGGGAAAUUGAAGACCAGCUUUAGAAGAUCGAGAGACGGACUUUGUAGCUUUUGGCUUUCCUCUGCCACCUUUAGUUGUUCCACUGCCGGCGCCGGAACUCAUUUUUUGUUUAUCGGGAAAUUUGAAGAGGCGAUUGUAAAAUGUGAUUAGAGAUGGCUGAGGAUUUUGUGAGUGGAGUGAUUU